ensembl:lncRNA
CACGCAUGCACGCAUGCCGUGAGGUUUGAAGAGCUGCCGUGUAAAAACCCACAACACAGCAACCAAAAGAAACCCUUUUGCCCGACCCACAGAGCUGGAGGAAGAGAGCGUUUCCGUCCCCCCCCCCCGAGGCCAAGAGGCAGUUCCGUGAGCGGGGUGGGUGGGCAGAGAGUGUAGGGACGGGGGGGGGGGACGGACGGACUGGGAGGGCGGAAGAAAGAGAUGCCAGGAGGAAACCUAGCAGCUCAGCAGAGGAAGCAACCGGGCCGAGCGGACAAAAAGGGUCACACGGGGCCUUUGACCCCUGGUACGGCCGGCCUUGUGGACGCCUCGCCGGCUGCAAGCUCAUUUCCAGCCCAGGCAGUCGAGCCGAAAGCUUAGAAGAAAGAAGGAACGGGGGGGCCACUGCGGAGAAGCCCCCUCUCCCAUCCACCUAGCCUGCACUAAGUCAGCCAAGGCAUCAAGUUUCAACCUUGGACACCAGAGGCGCGGUGCAUUUCGGCGCACAACGAUCGGGCGAGAAACGGGCGCUUGGCGCUUGGCAACUGGAGCAGGAGAUGCCCCUGGGCUUCUGAUACCGCGGCCAGAUAAGGGGGGGGGUGAGGGGAGGAAAGGAGCCCACACAUCCCCCGCCCCUGCCUCAUCCUGCCAGCAGACUUUUGGGACAGUGAUCGCAAGGGGGAUUCCUGCACCUUUGGGAACCCGGUCUGUAUCGGCGGAUACGGCUGCGGGCGACAGGUAAGACGCAAACAAUUGCUGGUUGUCUGAAUGAAAGUCUUGGCCACUGGGCUGGAUUUUAGUGGCUCUCCGCGGUCUCUUCCUCUUCCUUCUCCGAAGUGGCCAGAUCCCAAAGGAUGUCAGCUCGAAAGUAUGCGCCUAUCUACAGAUUUCUGGUCUGUUUGCUGUUAAUCGUGACUCGGCUGGCUCUGAGAAACUCCCUCCUUUUGCUUUGUUUUUAAGUGACUAAGGAAACCAGUAAAAGAAUGAUAUUUGGAGAAAACCAGGUCCUUAAGGAGAGCUGAGCGCCUUUGGGGAGGAAAGAAGACAAGUGUUGCAUUGCCUGUUAAGUAAAUAAUGUCCUCGCAAAAAAGGGCGGAACGGCUUCGGUUCUUUGAUGCGUGCAGCCCAAACCAUUUCUGCGGUUUUGAAAAAUGAGUGGGAAACCUUUUCCAGGGCUGCUGUUGCUUGUUGCCACUGAAACAGGGCCAACUACAAGGGACUCCCUAGACCCUUUUUUAUGCUUGGCCAGGCCCUUUUGACAGAGAGGUUCCAGAGAUCGAACCGGCGACCUUCUACUUUCAAAGCCACGGAGCUAUAUUCCCUCCCCUUUCAUGCAGUUUUCUUGGCAGAGGUAGAGAAAUGGUUUGCUAUUGCCUACUUCCGGGGAGACGCUGACAAAUGAAUCACCAACCCUCUGCUUUCCAGGAAGUUUGCUCUACCACUGAGCUACAGCCCCUCCCAGACUCCAUGGGCCCCUCUAUGCAGUUUUCUUGGCAGGGAUACAGAAGUGGUUUGCCAUUGCCUACUUCCGGGGAGAGGCUAGGGAUCAAACUAGCAACCCUCCACUUUCCAGGCAGCUGUUCUACCUCUGUUCUACAGUAUCACGCGUGUUCUUAACUUCUGUUCUGAAGAUGAGAUGUUUGCCUGCGUUCCCAAGACAAAUAUUUUAAUAAAGGGUGUUAAGAUGUGCUUUCUUUGCA